UACAGAGGAUGCAAGCGUUAUCCGGAAUGAUUGGGCGUAAAGCGUCUGUAGGUGGCUUUUUAAGUCCGCCGUCAAAUCCCAGGGCUCAACUCUGGACAGGCGGUGGAAACUACCAAGCUGGAGUACGGUAGGGGCAGAGGGAAUUUCCGGUGGAGCGGUGAAAUGCGUAGAUAUCGAGAGGAACACCUGCGGCGAAGGCGGGUUGCUGGGCUGACACUGACGCUGAUGCGCGAAAGCGUGGGGAGCAAACAGG
rnacentral:rRNA from 1 species